CAGGAUGAACGCUAGCGACAGGCCUAACACAUGCAAGUCAGGGGCAGCACAAGGAGCAAUCUGAGGUGGCGACCGGCGCACGGGUGAGUAACACGUAUGCAACCUGCCUGUAAGCGGGGAAUAACCCGUUGAAAGACGGACUAAUACCGCAUAAUACUAAAUUACUGCAUGGUAAUUUAUUUAAACAUUUAUGGCUUACAGAUGGGCAUGCGCAUGAUUAGCUAGUUGGAGAGGUAACGGCUCCCCAAGGCAACGAUCAUUAGGGGUUCUGAGAGGAAGGUCCCCCACACUGGUACUGAGACACGGACCAGACUCCUACGGGAGGCAGCAGUGAGGAAUAUUGGUCAAUGGACGAGAGUCUGAACCAGCCAAGUCGCGUGCAGGAAGAAUGUCCUAAUGGAUUGUAAACUGCUUUUGCAGGGGAAUAAAGUGCAUCACGUGUGAUGUUUUGUAUGUACUCUGCGAAUAAGGAUCGGCUAACUCCGUGCCAGCAGCUGC
rnacentral:rRNA from 1 species